ACGUCAAACAUGACAAACCGGCUCAGUCAUCGUUUCCAGGGGAACAGACCGGGGCGGGCAGUUGGUCCGGGAUGGUGGGCACGGGGUUGUGGUAAAGUGGAUUCGGUCUCUACUUUGUGUUUCGGCUCCACUGUGGGAAUCGGCCUCUCCUCUUCCUGCCCUCGGAGUGUCUGUCAGCGCCUCACCGCACCGGCUCUUUGCCUCAGCCCAGAUUUUAAUCAGCAGCCUGGAGACUGAAGGAGUCACACGGAACUAUGGAAGACCCCUCACUACCUGAAAUCCUUGGCAACAUCAUUGAGCGAUGGUGGUAUAGUGAUUCAGCAAGAAUGGACAUUUCACAGGAAGGAUCGACAGGAUUUAUAAAGCAUUGCCCGGACGUUGCCUGAUUAAUGUGUUUGAGCUUUUAUUGUAAUGUCAGAGCUUGAGAUGAAACUUGAUCGAAUUAUGAGGUAGAAAGUUAUGAGAGACUGGGCAACACGAGUGAAUCUGCAGAUGCUGGAAAUGAAUAAAAACACAAAAUGCUGGCAGAUCUCAGCAGGCCAGACAGCAUCUAUGGGAGGAGGGAGUGACGACGUCUGCCAGCAUUUUGUUUUUUUUUUGAGAGACAUAGAUUAGGCAGAGUCAGAAUGGGUUCCCAGGGUAAGGAUUUGAAAUUCUAGUGGGAAUGAAUGUAAGGUCGGAGUGGGAGAGAGUUUAAAGAAGAUGUGCGGCUCACGUUUUCAGACGGAGUGGGGCGGGUGCUAGGAACGGGCUGCCAGGUUCAGAGACGGAAGGGUGUACGAUGUUUUUAGAUAGACACAUGAAUAUGUUAGUGUGCAGCGACAUGGAUAGAGGCACAGAGAUAAAAUCGCAGGUGAUGGAAAUCCAAGCAACACAGAAAAUGUUGGAAGAAGUCAGCAGGCCAUGUAGCACCUGUGGGAAAAAUAGAGUGGACGUUUCGGGCCGAGUCCCUUCAUCCCGGCUGGAGAAACAACAACGAGGAAUCAG